GAAGUUGCAGUUUUAUUGCCUAAACUUAAAGAAGUUGUAGUUUUGUUGUCUAAACUUAAAACCUUUUUGUUUGUUUUCAAAAUGUAACGUUUCAUUCAGUUUUACAUGUUAGAAGGUGUUGCUUUUAGGUUUGCAUAGUAGGCCCCCAAUGAUCAACAUCUAUGGUGCUUAUAGCGACUGAUAACGCCGAAAUUAAGCCAAUCACAUUGCACGAUCGCAGUUUCAGUUACACUGCGCAUGUGUUAUAUAUUGAAGGAGGAUGGAACACGGGCGGACACGGGUCUUGGGUCCGCCCGUGUUCCAUCCUCCUUCGAUAGGCCUUGGUCUGUCUUGGCCCUGAUGAGCUCUGGGAGGAGCCACCGGCUCACCUGUGCUGCCUGGAGCCACUAGGCACAGGUGAGCCCAGUUUGAAUCAGUGCUCCAAUAACUAGGAUGGAAGAACAUUACACUGUUUGCCCUGUUACCAGCCAGACCUGUUCACGGGUCUUCAUCAAGCGCGGCGUCUAGUAUCCACCAUUUGAUGAUUUUAAAGAGGAACUCAUCUAAAAUAAAGUCUCUUUUUUUGGUGGAGUUUUCCAUCUCUCUGUC